rnacentral:rRNA from 1 species
UACGUAGGGGGCAAGCGUUGUCCGGAAUCAUUGGGCGUAAAGAGCGCGUAGGCGGUCCGAUAAGUCGGCUGUGAAAGUCAGGGGCUCAACCCUUGAAAGCCGGCCGAUACUGUCGGACUAGAGUUCGGAAGAGGCGAGUGGAAUUCCCGGUGUAGCGGUGAAAUGCGCAGAUAUCAGGAGGAACACCGGUGGCGAAGGCGGGUCUCUGGGCCGAUAUCGACGCU